rnacentral:lncRNA from 1 species
AAUAAGGGUUCAUCCCGGGAUGCUUUGCAUUCACUGAUUUUGGGGGGAAAUGCAUGGAAUACGCAGUAAUUUUUUAAGACUUCCUUAUCUAAACUAAACCUGUAACUCUGUGGGAGUGAGCUUGUUAAAAACAGAUGAAGUCGACAAAUAUUUGUCUUGUGAAGAGCUGGCAAGUUUGCUAGCCUAGAGUGUUCUGUGAAGUGGGCCACCCCCUCCUUCUGCAGGAGCAAAACUGGAGUUCUCGGUCCAGACCAGUCAGCGCAAGAAACGAAGCAGAGCCUGUGCUUGUCAGUGAACGCUGCAAUAUUCAUUGUGCCCUGCGGGGGAGCAAUCCUCCGGGAGCAGCAGUAGGAUGG